rnacentral:rRNA from 1 species
AUUACCUGCAUUCAGAGAUUCAUACCGGCACAGGUCGGUAUGCGAAGUCCCUUUUGGG